AAUAAUUGUAGUUUUACACUAUUCAUGUUUAACGUUUGACCGUCCGUCUUAUUUGAAAAUUUUUUAUGAUUAGUAUUUUUAUUGCUAUUAGAUGAUAAAACAUGAAUAGUACUUUAUAUGUGACUAAAUGUUUUUAAUUUUUUCACAAAAUUUUCAAAUAAGACGGACGGUCAAACGUUGAACGUGAAUAGUGUAAAACUGCACUUAUU
rnacentral:pre_miRNA from 1 species